UUGCAUCUUUUCAACAAAGUUGACUCUCUCCCUACAAAGGAAAGUUUAUAUCAGCUACUGAGAAGACUUGAACUGGAACUUACUUCACCAGAUCUCAUGGUUCUCGGGCCUUCAGACUCAGGUUGGAACUAUGCUAUCAACUUUCCUUGGUCUCCAGCUUGCUGACUACAGAAUCUAGGACUUCUCAGCCUUUGUAAUUGUGAGGAACAAAUUGUUCUACAGAAAAUGAAGGAAACUCCAAAUGUUCAAGAGACUGGGGAUGGUAUAUGAAAGCUUUCACCAUUAG